rnacentral:tRNA from 1 species
AAUGAUAAAAAUUCUUCUUGAUAUGAAGAAAAAGGCAAAAACCUAUCAUUU